CCCUUAGAUGUUCUGGGCCGCACGCGCGCUACACUGAUGCAUUCAACGAGUCUAAAACCUGGUCUGAUAGGGCUGGGUAAUCUUUUGAAAGUGCAUCGUGAUUGGGAUAGAUGGUUGCAAUUCUUCAUCUUCAACGAGGAAUGCCUAGUAAACGCAAGUCAUCAGCUUGCAUUGAUUACGUCCCUGCCCUUUGUACACACCGCCCGUCGCUCCUACCGAUUGAAUGAUCCGAUGAAUACCAUGGAUUGAGAGUACGAAUGGGUUCGCUCAUUUCUGCUGCUCGAGAAGUGGAGUAAAUCUUAUCAUUUAGAGGAAGGAGAAGUCGUAACA
rnacentral:rRNA from 1 species